AUGAGACAAUGAAUACACAGUUGUCUUUAAACUAAGCUGCAGAAACUUGUGCGCGCAAGUAGACAGCUGCAUAUACGUGACCAGCAUCAUCGAUGAUCCAGCCUACUCGGUAAAACCUUUGCUGUAAAAUGAUAGAUACAGUUGAACUAUACAAGAAGAACACAAGCCUUGACCUUUAAACUGGAGACGAAUAGGCCGUGACGAAUAACAGCACCAUUUUCCAGAUUGAUAUUUAUAAUCCAAUCUGCUUCAUCCAUAAAGACCACUUAACAGCCUCAAGAAACUUAUCAUUUUUCCGUAAUGCAUUGAUUAGGUUAGUGUAGGUUAUUCGAUCAGGUUCAAUUCCAUUUUCGCGCAUUUCCUUGACCAAAUCUACAGCACGUUCAACCAUUCCAGCAAUUCCAUAAGCCUUUAU
rnacentral:misc_RNA from 1 species